rnacentral:rRNA from 1 species
AUUGAACGCUGGCGGCAGGCUUAACACAUGCAAGUCGAGCGGGGUGAUGGUGCUUGCACUAUCACUUAGCGGCGGACGGGUGAGUAAUGCUUAGGAAUCUGCCUAUUAGUGGGGGACAACAUCUCGAAAGGGAUGCUAAUACCGCAUACGUCCUACGGGAGAAAGCAGGGGAUCACUUGUGACCUUGCGCUAAUAGAUGAGCCUAGGUCGGAUUAGCUAGUUGGUGGGGUAAAGGCCUACCAAGGCGACGAUCUGUAGCGGGUCUGAGAGGAUGUGCCGCCACACUGGGACUGAGACACGGCCCAGACUCCUACGGGAGGCAGCAGUGGGAAAUAUUGGACAAUGGGGGGAACCCUGAUCCAGCCAUGCCGCGUGUGUGAAGAAGGCCAUAUGGUUGUAAAGCACUUUAAGCGAGGAGGAGGCUCUUUUGGUUAAUACCCAAGAUGAGUGGACGUUACUCGCAGAAUAAGCACCGGCUAACUCUGUGCCAGCAGCCGCCGUAACAC